CGACCGGCGCACGGGUGCGUAACGCGUAUCCAAUCUACCGCAUACUCGGGGAUAGCCUUGCGAAAGUAAGAUUAAUACCCGAUGUUGUGCAUUGCCCGCAUGGGCGGUGUACCAAAGAAUUUCGGUAUGCGAUGAGGAUGCGUCCCAUUAGGUAGUUGGUGAGGUAACGGCUCACCAAGCCUCCGAUGGGUAGGGGUUCUGAGAGGAAGAUCCCCCACACUGGAACUGAGACACGGUCCAGACUCCUACGGGAGGCAGCAGUGAGGAAUAUUGGUCAAUGGGCGAGAGCCUGAACCAGCCAAGUAGCGUGCAGGAUGACGGCCCUCUGGGUUGUAAACUGCUUUUAUACGGGGGUAAAAAACGCCACGUGUGGCGUCUUGCAAGUACCGUAAGAAAAAGGACCGGCUAAUUCCGUGCCAGCAGCCGCGGUAAUACGGAAGGUUCGGGCGUUAUCCGGAUUUAUUGGGUUUAAAGGGAGCGUAGGCGGGUGUUUAAGUCAGCUGUGAAAGUUUGAGGCUCAACCUUAAAAUUGCAGUUGAUACUGGACGCCUUGAGUGUGCGCAGCGGCAUUGGAAUUCGUAGUGUAGCGGUGAAAUGCUUAGAUAUUACGAAGAACUCCGAUCGCGAAGGCAUAUGCCGGGAGCACAACUGACGCUGAGGCUCGAAAGUGUGGGUAUCAAACAGGAUUAGAUACCCUGGUAGUCCACACAGUAAACGAUGUAUACUCGCGGUUGGCGAUAUACUGUCAGUCGCUUAGCGAAAGUGUUAAGUAUA
rnacentral:rRNA from 1 species